rfam:Oryza sativa (indica cultivar-group) chromosome 2, whole genome shotgun sequence.
UUUAAGUGCAAUCAUGAGUUUCCGUGUCCAACUUUGAUAGUCCGUUUUAUUUGAAUUUUUUUAUAAUUAAUAUUUUUGUUGUUAUGAGAUGAUAAAACAUGAAUAAUACUUUAUUCGUGACUUAUGUUUUUAAAUUUUUUUUUAAAAAAAUUAAAUAAGAUGGACGAUCUAAUUUAAACGCGGAAAAUCAUGACUGCACUUAAA